rnacentral:rRNA from 1 species
GCCUGGGUAAAUCGUGUAGCUUAACUAUACGACUUCCGGGUAGACUGCUAAACUUGAGACCGGGAGAGGCUAGAGGUACUCCUGGGGUAGAGGUGAAAUUCUGUAAUCCUAGGGGGACCACCAGUGGCGAAGGCGUCUAGCUAGAACGGGUCUGACGGUGAGGGACGAAGCCCUGGGGCACAAACCGGAUUAGAUACCCGGGUAGUCCAGGGUGUAAACGCUGCUUGCUUGAUGUUAGUUGGGCUCCGAGCCCAACUAGUGUCGGAGAGAAGUUGUUAAGCAAGCUGCCUGGGAAGUACGGUCGCAAGGCUGAAACUUAAAGGAAUUGGCGGGGGAGCACAGCAACGGGUGGAGCGUGCGGUUUAAUUGGAUUCAACGCCGGAAAACUCACCGGAGGCGACGGUUACAUGAAGGCCAGGCUGAUGACCUUGCCUGAUUUUCCGAGAGGUGGUGCAUGGCCGCCGUCAGUUCGUACCGUAAGGCGUUCUGUUAGGUCAGACAACGAACGAGACCCUCAUCUUUAAUUGCUACUGGUAAGUUCGCUUACUGGGCACAUUAGAGAAACCGCUGGCGAUAAGUCAGAGGAAGGCGAGGGCAACGGUAGGUCAGUAUGCCCUGAAUCCUCCGGGCUACACGCGCGCUACAAAGGCUAGGACAAUGAGCUUCAACACCGAGAGGUGAAGGUAAUCUCGAAACCUUGUCGUAGUUCGGAUUGAGGGUUGAAACUCACCCUCAUGAAGCUGGAAUCCGUAGUAAUCGCGGAUCAACAUCCCGCGGUGAAUAUUCCCCUGCUCC